AAUGAACGUUGGCGGCAUGGAUUAGGCAUGCAAGUCGAGCGAGAAGAGUUUUGAAGCUUGCUUUAGAACUCGGACAGCGGCGAAAGGGAGAGUAACGCGUAGUUAUGUGCCCUAGGGUCCGGAAUAGCCACGGGAAACUGUGGGUAAUGCCGGAUAAUAUCCCCGGAUCAAAGGUGUGAUUCCGCCCUAGGAGCAGACUGCGUCGCUACUAGCUAGUUGGUGGGGUAAUGGCCCACCAAGGCAAUGAUGGGUAGCGGGUGUGAGAGCAUGACCCGUCGCACUGGGACUGAGACACUGCCCAGACACCUACGGGUGGCUGCAGCCGAGAAUCGUCGGCAAUGGGCGAAAGCCUGACCGAGCGAUGCCGCGUGCGGGAUGAAGGCCCUCGGGUUGUAAACCGCUGUCGUAGGGGAGGAAGGUUCCGUGAAGAGCGGGACUUGACCUAUCCUAGGGGGAAGUACGGGCUAAGUUCGUGCCAGCAGCCGCCGUAA
rnacentral:rRNA from 1 species